rnacentral:rRNA from 1 species
AUAGCAGUGAGGAAUAUUGGACAAUGGGCGCAAGCCUGAUCCAGCCAUGCCGCGUGCAGGAUGACGGUCCUAUGGAUUGUAAACUGCUUUUAUACAGGAAGAAACACUACUUCGUGAAGUAGCUUGACGGUACUGUAAGAAUAAGGAUCGGCUAACUCCGUGCCAGCAGCCGCGGUAAUACGGAGGAUCCAAGCGUUAUCCGGAAUCAUUGGGUUUAAAGGGUCCGUAGGCGGUCAGAUAAGUCAGUGGUGAAAGCCCAUCGCUCAACGGUGGAACGGCCAUUGAUACUGUCUGACUUGAAUUAUUAGGAAGUAACUAGAAUAUGUAGUGUAGCGGUGAAAUGCUUAGAGAUUACAUGGAAUACCAAUUGCGAAGGCAGGUUACUACUAAUUGAUUGACGCUGAUGGACGAAAGCGUGGGUAGCGAACAGGAUUAGAUACCCUGGUAGUCCACGCCGUAAACGAUGGAUACUAGCUGUUGGGAGCAAUCUCAGUGGCUAAGCGAAAGUGAUAAGUAUCCCACCUGGGGAGUACGUUCGCAAGAAUGAAACUCAAAGGAAUUGACGGGGGCCCGCACAAGCGGUGGAGCAUGUGGUUUAAUUCGAUGAUACGCGAGGAACCUUACCAAGGCUUAAAUGUAGAUGACCGGUUUGGAAACAGACUUUUCGCAAGACAAUUUACAAGGUGCUGCAUGGUUGUCGUCAGCUCGUGCCGUGAGGUGUCAGGUUAAGUCCUAUAACGAGCGCAACCCCUGUUGUUAGUUGCCAGCGAGUCAUGUCGGGAACUCUAACAAGACUGCCAGUGCAAACUGUGAGGGAAGGUGGGGAUGACGUCAAAUCAUCACGGCCCUUACGCCUUGGGCUACACACGUGCUACAAUGGCCGGUACAGAGAGCAGCCACUGGGCGACCAGGAGCGA